rnacentral:rRNA from 1 species
UACGGAGGGAGCGAGCGUUGUCCGAAGUUACUGGGCGUAAAGCGCGCGUAGGCGGGGGAUUAAGUGAGAAGUGAAAGGCUGGGGCUCAACCCCAUGCAGUGCUUCUCAUACUGGUCCUCUUGAGGGUGGUAGAGAGAAGUGGAAUGGCUGGUGUAGCGGUGAAAUGCGUAGAUAUCAGUCGGAACACCGGUGGCGAAGGCGGCUUCUUGGGCCAUUUCUGACGCUGAGGCGCGAAAGCUAGGGGAGCGAACGGGAUUAGAUACCCCGGUAGUCCUAGCCGUAAACGAUGGAUACUAGGUGUCGGGGGUAUCGACCCCUCCGGUGCCGCAGCUAACGCACUAAGUAUCCCGCCUGGGGAGUACGGCCGCAAGGUUGAA